GACGAACGCUGGCGGCGUGCUUAACACAUGCAAGUCGAACGGAAAGGCCCGGCUUUUGUGGGGUGCUCGAGUGGCGAACGGGUGAGUAACACGUGAGUAACCUGCCCUUGACUUUGGGAUAACUUCAGGAAACUGCGGCUAAUACCGGAUAGGAGCUCCUGCUGCAUGGUGGGGGAUGGAAAGUUUCGGCGGUUGGGGAUGGAUUCGCGGCUUAUCAGCUUGUUGGUGAGGUAGUGGCUGACAAAGGCUUUGACGGGUAGCCGGCCUGAGAGGGUGACCGGGCACAUUGGUACUAAGAUAGGGCGCAGUCGCCUACGGGAGGCAGUGGUGGGGAGUAUUGCAGAAUGGGCGGAAGCCUGAUGUAGAAACGCCGGGUGCGGGAUGACGGCCUUCGAGUGGUAAACCGCUUUCGCCUGUGACGAAGCGGGAGUGACGGUAAUGGGUAAAGAAGCACCGGCUAACUACGUG
rnacentral:rRNA from 1 species